UGCCUUGCGGUCGGAGGCCGAGCAGUUGCCAUACCAGGCAGUGAUGCAACCAGUCAGGAUGCUCUCGAUGGUGCAGCUGUAUAACUUUUUGAGGAUCUGAGGACCCAGGCCAAAUCUUUUCAGUAUCCUGAGGGGGAAUAGUUGUUGUCUUGCCCUCUUCACGUGUUAUGACUAACUGGGGACACCAGGUGUGUUAUGACUAACUGGGGACACCAGGCGUGUUAUGACUAACUGGGGACACCAGGUGUGUUAUGACUAACUGGGGACACCAGGCGUGUUAUGACUAACUGGGGACACCAGGUGUGUUAUGACUAACUGGGGACACCAGGUGUGUUAUGACUAACUGGGGACACCAGGCGUGUUAUGACUAACUGGGGACACCAGGUGUGUUAUGACUAAUUGGGGACACCAGGCGUGUUAUGACUAAUUGGGGACACCAGGCGUGUUAUGACUAACUGGGG
rnacentral:lncRNA from 1 species